GGUAAGGGUAUGGGGGCAAUAAUUAAAAGAGGGCAGGGAAUAUUGAGUGUAGAGGCAGGGGAAGGAAAUAAGUAUGAGGAAUGCAUUUUUUCAAAACAAUUUUAUUAUCUGAUACCUGACUGUGCAUCGUCGUCCCUCAUGGCAUAUUUUUGGCAAACUUAUUCCACGGCUUUAUUAAGAUACAAAUAACUUAAUAAGGUCAUUGUCAACAAACAUUUAAU